rnacentral:misc_RNA from 1 species
AACGCACAUUGCGCCCAUUAGUAUUCUAGUGGGCAUGCCUGUUCGAGCGUCAUUUCAACCCUUAAGCCUAGCUUAGCGUUGGGAGACUGCACUAGACCGCAGCUCCUCAAAACCAGUGGCGGAGUCUUCUCGUACUCUGAGCGCAGUAAUUCAUUAUCUCGCUUCUGUAAGUACGGCUGACGACAGCCAUAAACCGCACCCUUCGGGGGCACUUUUUAAUGGUUGACCUCGGAUCAGGUAGGAAUACCCGCUGAACUUAA